AUGCGGCGGUGCCGGGGCGCAGGGCUGGCGGGGCUGGCCGCGGUGCUCCUGGUGGCUGUGGGCAGAGCCCAGGUGCAGCAGGAGCCGUCGGCAGAGACCACCGAGGGCACCGGCAUCAACAUCAACUGCUCACACCCCAACAUACAGACUUACGACUACAUCCACUGGUACCGUCAGCUCCCGGGCCGAGGCCCCGCAUUCCUCACGUUCGGUCACAAAGGGACCAAAGAGGUGCCGGACCCGCCGGGGCGGCUGUGGGUGGCGGCAGACCGCCGGUCCAGCGCCCUGUGGCUCGCCCGGCCCCGGCGCGGGGACGCGGCGGUGUAUUACUGCGCCCUGAGAGACACGGGGAUUCCUGACUUUCUGGUCUUUGGGAAUGGACUGCUCUUGAGCUUGCAGGAGGUGUUCCUGGGAUGCUCAGCAGCUUUCUUGGGCCCUUCUAGCCUCUAGGGCCUUACUCCACAGGACUUUCCCAAGCAGACCUUUAAAGACA